rnacentral:rRNA from 1 species
GACGAACGCUGGCGGCGUGCUUAACCCUUGCAAUUCAAACGGAAAGGCCUUGCUUGCAGGGUACUCGGUUGGCAAACGGUUGAUUAACCCGUGGUGGAUCUGCCCUGCACUUCGGGUUAAGUUUGGGAAACUGGUUCUAUUACCGGUUAGGAACAUCCUUUAGUUUGGUGGUUGGAAGGUUUUUUCGGUGUAGGUUGAGCUCGCGGCCUAUCAGCUUGUUGGUGGGGUAAUGGCUUACCAAGGCGGCGACGGGUAGCCGGCCUGAGAGGGUGUACGGCCACAUUGGGACUGAGAUACGGCCCAGACUCCUACGGGAGGCAGCAGUGGGGAAGAUUGCACAAUGGGCGCAAGCCUGAUGCAGCGACGCCGCGUGGGGGAUGAAGGCCUUCGGGUUGUAAACUCCUUUCGCUAGGGACGAAGCUUUUUGUGACGGUACCUAGAUAAGAAGCACCGGCUAACUACGUG